UACAGGGGGUGCAAACGUUGCUCGGAAUUAUUGGGCGUAAAGCGCGCGUAGGCGGCUACUUAAGUCGGAUGUGAAAGCCCUUGGCUCAACUGAGGAAGUGCACCCGAAACUGAGUGGCUUGAGUACUAAAGAGGGUCGCGGAAUUCCCGGUGUAGAGGUGAAAUUCGUAGAUAUUCGCAAGAACACCAGUGGCGAAGGCGGCUCACUGGCCCGGUACUGACGCUGAGGUGCGAAAGCGUGGGGAGCAAACAGG
rnacentral:rRNA from 1 species